UACAUGUUUUUACCUGUAUAAAACAAUAAGUUAUACACAUGUCAUAUUUACACAUCUGAUACAAUUCAGAUCACCUUCAAAACUCAGUCACACACCCAGGGCCGUUUCAAGACAUUUUGGGGGCCAAGGCAAAAUGACCCCCCCCCCCCCCCCCCCCCAUAACUGGGCUCCCCAGAAGCCUCUGUGUAAUUGUUACCCUCUCCAGUAGUGUUAGUUAUAUGGUGUUUAUAAAAGCUCCUCAGACAUUACUGACAUGUUCUAAUAUUAUCAGAUGAAAAACUAAAUUAUCAGACAUGCUGUCUCAUCUGCUGCUUUUCUAAACCUGCAAAAAGUAACAAAACUAUUUGAAAGCCACUAUUUGUGGAUUCUCUGAAAGUUUCCAUGGAGUGUGGGACAACUUAUUUUUUCAUUGAUCCUAUCGUCUAAUCUCACAGCUGAAACAAGCAUCCUUAAUCAUCUGUGCACAGGAAGCUUACCGAUGCUGUAGUAAAACAAAAGGUAUAAUAAUUUAUUAUUAUUAAAACCUUGUUGCAGCACUAAAGCAGAAAAAUGAGAUUUUGCAAUACAUAUGCUAAAUAUUUACAUAUGAAUUGUUUUAGAGCCCUUUUAUUGGCAGAAUCUGAUAUUAAUUUAGUUCUUACAAAAAAAUGGGUCCCAACAUGGUUUGUGUGGCGUUGCCAUAGUGUGACGACAUAGGCACAGAUCCCCUGUCCUCUUGUUUGGAAAUGGAAAUAUGAUCACCCUGUACUAAACAAACUGUCCACCCGGGCUUUUGCGCUGCACAGAGACGCUUCGCUGCCUAUGACUGAACGUCAGUUGAGAGUCAGUCUCAUGCAGACUGACCAAUGAAGAGAGGGCCUCAAGUUAAGACCCUCUCCUCAUUGGUCAGUCCACACAAGGUGGGUCAAAGGUUACCCUGAGCGGGUUACGUGAUGUCAGGCAUUCAAGCAUUGAGUAUAUUUACUGCAUAUUACAGUAAAAUAUUCUGUAUGUGACCAUAUUAUGGUGAUCCUUGGGUCGUGAUGAUGGGGCCCUUGAAUAUUGUUGCCCAGGGUACAACGAAGUCUUAAUCUGGCCCUGGAUGCAGCUAAAUGUGCAAAAAUGAGCACCUUUUUUUCUCAAACAAGCUAGCGGUCUUUAACUUCAAAUGAAGAUAAAACGGGUAAGGCAAGUCAAGAUGUUAAACUUUACCGGCUGCAAAUCACCAUUCAAGUUAAUUAAGCAAUAAUGAAUUAUAUGGCAUCAUGACAUAACGUUAUGUAAUAUAAUUUACAGUAUGAUGUGACUGAUGCCACCAAACUGUCUUGUCAGAGUCAAACACAAGAUCCAGUAGGCCUAAUAAGCACCAGGCAGAAACCCACAAUUCCAGAGCGGGCAUGUACAGUGUCAGAAGAAGAGCCAGGAGCCAGCAGUGAGGGUAUUGCUCCUGUUGGGAUAGAAGGUGAGCCAACUCAUGUGCAAACAAGCAAACAUCAGUUUCAUUAUAAUAAUUUUAAUGUCCAUAUAAUAGUAGUGACCUGUUGAAUUUUUAUUAGUAAAUGCACAAAGCCCACAACAGAUCGCUAUUAGAAUGAAAGUAAAACGAAAUAAGCCUGCAUAUUUUGCCAUAGAAAAUAUUUUAAUUGGUUACAAAAAAUGUGUUUUCCAUAUCAAAUGUGCUAAAGCUUUACAGAUGAUUAUUUUAAUUGUGUGCAGGUGAGUCUAGGGAAACUGGAAAAAGUGUGAAAGGGAGUGCUGAGUCAUUUCAUUUUAAAGGUUUGAAAAUCUCAGAACAGCUGUUUGAACAGAAGGUAGAUUGUUAUAUUGUUAGAGAAUGUGUUGUAAAGAACAAUGUUGGAGAUGUGCACUGAUGUUCAAAUAAACCUACAUUGUAAAGCAA